CAGGAACAUCGGCGGCGGCGAAGAAGGAAGAGGACAGCUGGCCCCAGACUGGUUCUCGUCGGUCCAUCUGGGAGAGGGGAGAGCAACAAAGAAGAUCGGGGACAUCAUCCGGUGCGUGGAGUAUGCCAGUGAGGUGGAGGAGAGGUUCCCUGAACUCCUGGUGGGCCUGGUGAACAAGAUCCUCACCGGCCUGCAGAACACCACCGAGGGAGUGGGGAACCGGGAGAGCCAAGACCUGCCUCCUGAGGAGACCUCGCAGAUUGUCCGGACCCUGCUGGAGAGGGUGGCACAGGUGACCCCAGAGAAGACCUGCUGGGAAUCCCUGUGCUCUCCGCAGAGCUGCCUCCAGGGUGUGGCCCUCUUGGUGAGGGCUCUCCUACAGACACCAUCCUCCACAGUGGCCAGGCUGAAGGCAUACCUGGCUUCCCUCUUCAGCCUGGACAAAGAUCCAGAACAGCAUUCCCUCGCAGAGGUGGCCUUCUUUGUG